rnacentral:lncRNA from 10 species
UGGAAUGUUUACAUCAUUGCAGAAAGUUCUUACAGGAAGAGCCUAGAAGGAGAAAGCCUAGAAUCAUGAUAAAAUUGCAGAUAUCUUUCCUUAUCCCUUGUCCCCUUCCAGGUCUGUCCCCAACAGCCACCACACGGGGGUGGAUUCCCUGUGUAACUUCUCGCCACUGGCUCGGAGAGUAGACAGAGUUGCCAUCUAUGAGGAAUUCCUGCGGAUGACCCGGAAUGGUAGCCAGCUGCAGAACUUCACCCUGGACAGGAGCAGUGUCCUUGUGGAUGGGUAUUCUCCCAACAGAAAUGAGCCCUUAACUGGGAAUUCUGACCUUCCCUUCUGGGCCAUCAUCCUCAUCUGCUUGGCAGUACUCCUGGGACUCAUCACAUGCCUGAUCUGCGGCUUCCUGGUGACCACUCGCUGGCGGAAGAAGGAAGAAUACAGCUUCCGGCAACAGUGCCCAGGCUACUACCAGUCACACCUAGACCUGGAGGAUCUGCAAUGACUGGAACUUGCCGGUGCCCGGGGUCUCUUUUCCCCAGCCAGGGUCCAAAGUAGCUUGGCUGGGGCAGAAAUAAACCAUAUUGGUCGGACACAGUCUCUGAGCCUUCCUUGACGUGACCCCUGACUGGUUCAUGUUGGACUAAGAGAACAAUCUUCCCCCUUCGUGAAGUCCCGAAGGCAACUCUCAGUUGUGUUUUGUGGUUUCGCACCAUGUCAUCCCUUGGGAACACCAGAAUUGGUGAAAAUGGUUGUAUUAGGCUGUUCUUGCACUGUGAUAAAGAAAUACCUGGCCAGGAACGGUGGCUCACGCCUAUAAUCCCAGCACUUUGGGAGGCCUAGGCGGAUGGAUCACUUGAGGUCAGGAGUUCGAGACCAGCCUGGCCAACUUGGUGAAACCCUGUCUCUACUAAAAAUACAAUAAUUAGCCAGGCGUGGUGGUGCACGCCUGUAAUGCCAGCUACUUGGGAGGCUGAGGCACGAGAAUCACUUGAACCCAGGAAGCGGAGGUUGCAGUGAGCCAAGAUCAUGCCACUGCACUCCAGCCUGGGCGACAGAGCAAGACUCUGUCUCAAAAAAAGAAAAAAAAAAAAGUACCUGGCCGGGCUCGGUGGCUCACGCCUGUAAUCCUAACACUAUGGAAGGCCUAGGCAGGCAGGU